UAAAGGUACUUGCGUCCAGUCCUAAAGCCGAGCGUGAUAUGGCCGGCAGAGCCAAAAGCCGUCGCAGCAAAGGAGGGCGCCCCGCAGCGAUCCUGGGGGUGGUGAGAUUCCAAUGA
rnacentral:ncRNA from 2 species